rnacentral:lncRNA from 1 species
CUGGCAGCCAUCACCUUAAAUUUCCCUCCUCCUCCUCCUCCCCUUGUCCAGUACACAGACCUGGGCUGUUUCUCCCAGACAGGUCCUGGGAGGAUAGGGUAGGGAACUUAGAGAUAUGGAAAAAAUUCAGGUGCAUGAAAAGUCAAAUAAUUCACAGGAAUGCAUAGACCUGCUGGAAACUGGACAUUUAUCUAUCCAAGAUCUCAGUUACCUGUGUAACUGGAGAAACCAUAAGAUGCUCCAUAGGAAAAAGGACACCAACCCAGUGAAUGCCAGAAUGGAGAGUGGAUCCGCUUACAGUCCUUCCUGGGAUACAGGUAAGGUGAUGUUCUUGAACUUCACACAGGCUGAUCCAAAAUGGAGAUCUUCGAUGAAAUUAAUUUAGAUUAUAUUGAAAAGGAACUCUUUCAGAAUUGCAGAGCUAGAAAGGAAAUUUGUGCCACUUUUCUUUUAUCAUUAGAAAAAUCCUCAGUCCAAGCCCAGACGCUCAUGAUUGUCAUUUCCAUUCCCCUCUAACGCCUUCUUUAUUUCUUUUAUAAUUUAGAUGAUCCUAAGCUGUUUAGCUGCACCAUCUUCACUGGGGCAUAAAUGAAACUCUUUGGUCCUGUGGAAAUAGAAAAACUGCAAAGGCAUUUGGCAGUCUCUCUAUAGCAGUGAGAAAGUAUUUGCCAUCACUGCUGAUAGCAACAACAGGGGGUGAUUUCAGUAAGUGAAAUGGGAGGCAAUAGCUAAAAAGAAUGUGACAGGUCUAUGUGUAUUAGCACGGGAAGGCGUUGAUGGGAUAUUCAUACAUUAAAAUGUUAACUUGCAGAAUAACAAUAGAAUGCAGUUUUUUAAAAAGGAAAAGAGCUUGAAGGAAGAAAGACUAACUCUUCAUUCGUUGUAAAUUAGGUUUAUUUGGAGUAGAGCAACAGAGGACUCUGACUUCUAGCUUUAUACAUUUCGACAAAUUGUAUGGUUUGGGGCCUUUUAAAAGUUCUUUUACAGUGAGCCAGUUUUAUUUCUGUACUCAUAAAAAUUUUUAAGUUGAAAUUAAUGUUGACCUGAUGAAAUCUCAAGAGGACAUGCUAAACUACUACCAUUGUGAAUAUCACUUUCUGCGUUCUAUGCACUUUGUUAUGUGAUUGUUUGUAGAGCUCAAGACUGUUUUUCGAAUGAUCUUUUUUUUUUUUUUUUCAGUAAUGGUGAUCGAAGUCAGGGCCUUUCUCUUGGCAGCACCACUGAGCUAAAUCCCUGGCCCAAAAUGAUCAGAUUUUUAAGAAGUUUGACCCUUCAUCUGACAGCCUGAUGGCCUCUUAUCUAAACCUGAAAAAAUCUCUCCAGGAUAUUGCAGUUAAAACCAACUCUCUCUCUCAUUUAUGGUGUCAGUACCAUGCCUGUGGUCACCAAAUGGAAUUGAAGCAAAACUAAAUAAAAAAAAAAUUCCUCCUACAUAUUUAGAUAAAGUAUUUACGUUACCUCCAUUCUUUAACAUUUAUUCUGAAGCUGUCUCUUGCCAAGUGCUUUGUAGGUGAGUCCAGGCCUUUGUGCUCAGGGCAGCAAGAGUGACGGAUGUCACAUGGCCACACUUCUAGUGCUGCAGAUGUGUUCUCAGCAUCCUGUGCGUGUCUGCCUCAUACACUGGGCCUUCAAAGUGGAGGACAGAGCUGGCUACCCAACCCCUAGAGGCUUACAGUCUGAGCAGCAUAGAGUGACAGAUAUAUAAUGCAACCAUAGAUAUAGAUAUAUAGAUAUAGAUAUAAUUUAAUUUUUUCCUAGAAGUCACAUAAAAGAGGAACAGGAGGAGCUUCCUUUUCAAAUGCAAAGGAGAAUAAGAAACGGAAGGAGGGAAAAGGGAGGGCAAGGAAAGGGGAUGUAAAGAGAGAGAGAGAAUGGAAGAAAAAUUGGAAACAGAGCUUUUAUAAAUGGGAAAGGGACCAAGAGUUGGAAGGAGCAGGGAGGGAUGAAAGGGAAGGGGCAGAGGACCAAAAAAAAAAAACAAGAAUUAAGAUGUAUUAUGUAAAGGUACCAACUCCCCAUGAUAAAUGUAAUCAUUAUGAACUGCAAGCAUGUACUUAUAAAAAAGACAAAAAC